AGGUUCAUCCAAUCCCAUCCAACUACCAUCGACCAAUCGCCGGCAUCCUCAUCGUACCGUCAGAAUUGCCAAUGAACUAUUCCCGCGAUCGUAAUAGAUCAAAGAGUUACGCGACACGUUCGAUCCAUCUCUCUCUCGUAUUUGUGCAGGGAGGCGUGACUCUUUCGUUAUUCGGAUAGUUAAACAAAUUCCUGUAUAACUUUUCCGCAUUAAAUUAAUUACGUGGUUUUAAAACUUGGGAAACUGUAAAAUUCGAAAAUUUAUAAGGAUCAGAAGAACUCCAAGUUCCAGAACGGGGGCGAUUGAUGCAUCAUAAACCCAAUCGUCGUCUUAAGACUUGCCACGAGAUGCGAUUACUGAAAAUAAAAAAAAAAUGAAAUUGUAUCAUUUUAAAACCACAAAUUCGUCAAGAAUUGUCAAAAAAAAAUUUGAAUAUUGGAAGAAUGGUAGAAAUCAAUUACAAAGAUAAUUAGAAAUAAAGAAUCAUCUUUAAUCAAUUCACACUUCAUUCUGACUUGAAUAGAAAGAAAAAAAUAUCUUCUAUCUUACUUUAACUCAAUUUUAUUUACG